UACGUAGGGGCCUAGCGUUGUCCGGAUUUAUUGGGCGUAAAGAGCGUGUAGGCGGCCAGGUAGGUCCGUUGUGAAAACUCGAGGCUCAACCUCGAGACGCCGAUGGAAACCAUCUGGCUAGAGUCCGGAAGAGGAGAGUGGAAUUCCCGGUGUAGCGGUGAAAUGCGCAGAUAUCGGGAAGAACACCCGUGGCUAAGGCGGCUCUCUAGUACGGUACUGACGCUGAGACGCGAAAGCGUGGGGAGCGAACAGG
rnacentral:rRNA from 1 species